ACUACUAUCAAGAGGCCGGUGCUUUCUUCACUCGUACCGACAACACCCUCCUCGACAUCCAGAACACGCAAGCAGAACAUGGAAGACUCCUGGAAGAGCAACAAAAAUGGAGCCAGGACCAUGCCGCUGCAGUACAAGAACUGAGACAAGAUACAACAACAAUGAACGACAACAUCACAACCAUGAUGCGGUUCUGGAACAUCGGGUAAGACCGACGUCAACAUCCAGCUUGGGGGAGUUCCUCCCUAAUUUAUCAAGUAAGUUUUUAUUUGCUCUUCUUAUUUAUUCUAUUCUGUCUUAGUAUUUUAUUUAUCUUAAAAGGAAAACAUAGAAAACCAAAUAAAUAUUUUCUUGCUUUAAUCUACUGCACUUAAUAAACAUGAAAACAAAAUAAAAAGAGUGUGUAGAUAAGUGUGCUUUAUUUUUCUGCUAAGUUUAAUCUCUAAAAAAUAAAAAGACCAAAAAGAUGUAUGAUGGAAAUGAUGAAUAGUUGCUCUGUUUGCUUACUUACAAGUACCUAGCUUUUAUAUUAGAAUUCUUCCGGGAAUUACUAAAACUGAAAUUACUAUCUUUGGAAAGCAUAAAACUAAAGUCUAGGUAAGAGAAAGGCAUGAUAUAAAGUUGAGCUGCUGUUUAUCUUGUUCCUACUACACUAAGUUCUGGAGAUUUAUUUUGAAAAUUUACAAAUCACAUGAUGAGUUCCUAGCAUAACAAACUACCUACCACAGCCAUACUUGCUAUAACAUCUUUUACUAUAUUUACAUUGAGUUUGAUCGAGCUGUGUUGACCCUUAGGAGCUUUUCAUGUGGUUAAAUUAAGAUAUUCACUUGCACACAUCUACCACAGCAUUCAUCACCAAUCAUUAAAAUUGCUAAAAAUAUUAUCACUCACUGUCCCGAAUAUUGUUAUUCUCUCUCUCUAAAAAGAUUCAAUGCAGAAGAGGCAUGGGUUAUGCAAAAAUAUAUACGAGGAAAUAAAAAGGGGCAAGUGCCCGGGAACCUCAAAAAAGAAAGAAAAAGAGUGAGACGAGAGGUAAAAAUGGAUAAGUGUCCGAAGUAGAAUUAGGGGUACAAAGAUGCCCACUUGAGAGGUAAAAAUGGACAAGUGUCCGACAGUAGAAUUAGGGGUAUCUAUUACCCACCUGAAAAAAAAGAGAAAAGAGAGAAAAGAUAGCCCAUGUUCUCCCAAGGCAAAGAUAAAAGAAGAGGAGAGAUAGCAAUAUGAGGAGCAAUGAGAACUAAGAUUUAUUAACACUAUCACCAUCACUAUCAUUUACUCCACCACACAUGCACAUCUUGAUUAAAUUAUAUGUUGAGUUCCUUUGGAUCCAUGGCUCGAUUAGACAACAUAUGUAUGAGCUGUUUUCCACUCCUAUGAGCUCCACUUAAAUAUUCCAUUAGCUAUAGGUAAGUGACAUUAUGGUAAGGAUCCACAAAUACCACAUAUAGAGAGACCUGAGAGAAUCAUUGCUGGGAACUCUGAGUUUUAUUUUGAAAACUUAUGAAAAACUCUAGAACAAAGGUGAAGUAUAGACAAGAGGGAUAGUGCUUGACUUAACUAUUUUGUCUUUCAAUUACUUAAGAUUUAAGUGCAGGUACUAAACUCCAUAACACUUCACUC
rnacentral:lncRNA from 1 species